UCUAGGGCUCAGUGGGGGGUGCCAGCCCUCCCUGAGACACUCAGAGUUAGUAAGGAAGAGAAACAGGGAACGUGGUUGCCUUACAGGGCUGGAGCUAGUGGUACAAGAGCUCCCAGCUCUGAAAGUUCCAACCUCCUAUUUUGUUCUAGUGUCCUUCCAGGAGGCAGAGAUGAAUUGCCUGCCUGCCCUGGGCUCUUCGCUUUAAUCUCAGUAGGGUUCUGGGAGCAUCCCCUUGCCACCCUCCCCACAACCACCACCUCCGCAAAGCUCCUGGGCCCCUCCUCCCUUCAAGGAUUGGGAAGAACUGGUCUCAAAUCCUCCUAAGCCACCAGCAUCUCUGUCUUCAGCUCACAGCAGACCUGAGCCCCAGCCUGCAGCCAGGGCACCACACACGUCCCACCCACCCAGUGACUCCCCAGCUGCUGCCCACUCUUCCUCACUCAUGGGGAACAGCAAAAGUGGGGCCCUGUCCAAGGAGAUCCUGGAGGAGCUGCGGCUGAACACCAAGUUCUCGGAGGAGGAGCUGUGCACCUGGUACCAGUCCUUCCUGAGAGACUGCCCCAGCGGCCGUAUCACCCAGCAGCAGUUCCAGAGCAUCUACGCCAAGUUCUUCCCCGACGCUGACCCCAAGGCCUACGCCCAGCAUGUGUUCCGCAGCUUCGAUUCCAACCUCGAUGGCACCCUGGACUUCAAGGAGUAUGUCAUCGCCCUGCAUAUGACCAGCGCAGGCAAGACCAACCAGAAGCUGGAGUGGGCCUUCUCCCUCUAUGACGUGGACGGCAACGGGACCAUCAGCAAGAAUGAAGUGCUAGAGAUUGUCCUAGCUAUUUUCAAAAUGAUCUCUCCUGAGGAUGUGAAGCUCCUUCCAGAUGAUGAGAACACACCGGAAAAGCGAGCUGAGAAGAUCUGGAAGUACUUUGGGAAGAACGAUGACGAUAAACUUACAGAGAAAGAAUUCAUUGACGGAACCCUGGCCAAUAAGGAAAUUCUGCGACUGAUCCAGUUUGAGCCUAAAAGGGCGAAGGAAAAGUAAAAGAACCCCUGAUGCCAACUGUUCAGCAGUCCUCCCUCCACUCACCACUCACAUGACACCUGUGAGCACAUGCACGCACACAUGCACACAUGCACACAUGCACACAUCCAUUCCAGGGCCAAGAGAGAGGCCUGCACACAGCCCACAGCACAGCUCCCUGCCAAACUGAAGCAUCUGUAGUGGCCCACUGGUUCCUUCUUCCUGGGUCUUCAGCAUCCCUCCCAUCAUCCCCCGCCCCACCCCUCCCUCUGCCCACCAGUCCAUGGCCCUGUGCUAAUCCCAGGAUUAGGCCAUAGUAGUCCUAAGUGUCACCCUGCUGUAAGCUCCUUUGUGGAGUGCUGGGUAAGCAGUUUCCAAUAAACACAAGUGGAGCUGGGCACGCA